UAAACCAUAAAAAUAUGAAUGUAUAUAAAUGCGUACUACAUAUAUGCAUUUAAAACAUUUAGAAUAUACAUAUAUAUUAACAUAUAUAUAUACGCACAUAUAUACGUACAAUAAUAAUAUAUUAAUAAUUAUACUAAUAAACAACAUAAACAAUAUAAAUAAUAAAUAAAUAAAUAAACAAAUUAAAGAUUAAGUUAAGAAAACAAACAGAAUUUGAGAGCUGGAUUUGAAAAUCAAAACAAGAAAGGGAGUAAUUUGAAACACGCGUAACAGGGGAAGGGCCGAAGGAGAAAAUUACCCAAAAAUACUGCACUGCACUGGGCUAAAAUAAAACAGAUUCGAUAUUUCAUGGAAAAUUUUGAAAACAAAAAAAAAGGUUUUGAAAUGAUAGGAUAAAAUGGAAGGAUUAAAAACAUAAAUAACCCAUAAAUAGAAUCUCAUUUCAUUUGCAGCCAAUAAAACCCAUUUCAAACCCCUAAAAGAAAACUCCUCUGCCAUUCAAAAUCGCGCCGCAGCAGUUCUCCUCCGCCGUUCCAGUCCCCUCCCAUGUCCGACCAGAUGACGACGAAAUGAGGACGCUCUCCGACGAAUCUCGCAACGAAACACUAGAGGAGACGUGUAUAACGUGUGAGGCUACUGAACGCGAGAGAAGCGGCAUGCGAGGGAGUCAUGCAGCGCGUCCUGGGGUUUCUGCCUCAUUUGCCAAAAACAUCUUGUGGGCCAAUUGGGCCAAUUUCUGCUGUUUGGGCUAAGCUAUUAGGCCGAUUGGUUUAUUUGUAAAAAUGGACUGUUUAUUGUAUUUGCUAUUUUAAGGUUUAUACAUUUGGGCCCGGGCUAAAAUGGCCUAUUACAAGCGGUAUGAUGCUUUGAGUAAAAUUCCCGAUCAUCCAACUCAAAUGAUCGUUUUCUUUAGUUUACCUUCUAUUGCCCGAUUGGAAUGGGUCAGAAGAUUUCUUUCUCACCAUUAAAAAUCAAUGUUCAAACUUUUUGAUGUUGUAAAACUAUAUAACAUAUGGAUUAUGAUGUACAAUUUUAUUUUCA